ACAAACUCUUUCUUAAAAAAAAUGUUGAUAAACAUAAAAAUAGAUUAGAAUAUUAAUUUAGAGGCCAUUGUGGAGUCCAAUUUCAACACGUAAAUUUAAUUUGUUCAUCUAAAAGUGGCAAAAACCAACAAUAAAAUCUACCAAAUGUAUUUCUAACAAAAUAAAUAAAUUGAAGCGUUUCUCACUCACCCAGACCAAACUGGAAUCAUCGAAAAUUCCCAUCAAAGUGUACAAAUAUUGCAGUCGCCGCAUUCACACAAAGGACCCUCGAACUGCCACUUUUUCCAUGUCCUGCCCACAGGCACAUUAGCCGCAACGGAUGUUGGCCUUUUCAUGCUCAGUUGGGCACAAAGGAGCGGGGUUUUGGCCAAAGGAAAGAAAUGUUUUUUGGGCAAACAAGUGGGCAGUCGACUGACACUGACCGUCGACCGUCGACCGAACCGAAAUGUCAAUAAAUUCAUAUGAAGUUAUCUCUUCCA